CCUACGGGUGGCAGCAGUGAGGAAUAUUGGUCAAUGGGCGAGAGCCUGAACCAGCCAAGUCGCGUGAGGGAGUACUGCCCUAUGGGUUGUAAACCUCUUUUGUCGGGGAGCAAAAGCCGGACGUGUCCGGCUGUGAGAGUACCCGAAGAACAAGCAUCGGCUAACUCCGUGCCAGCAGCCGCGGUAAUACGGAGGAUGCGAGCGUUAUCCGGAUUUAUUGGGUUUAAAGGGUGCGCAGGCGGAUUUUUAAGUCAGCGGUAAAAUCGUGGGGCUCAACCCCAUCCAGCCGUUGAAACUGGGGAUCUAGAGUGUGCGAGAGGUAUGCGGAAUGCGUGGUGGAGCGGUGAAAUGCAUAGAUAUCACGCAGAACCCCGAUUGCGAAGGCAGCAUACCGGUGCACAACUGACGCUCAGGCACGAAAGCGUGGGUAUCGAACAGGAUUAGAUACCCCUGUAGUC
rnacentral:rRNA from 1 species